CGCAUCUGUGCAUGCAGCAUAUCAAUAAGCGGAGGAAAAGAAACUAACAAGGAUUCCCCUAGUAACGGCGAGUGAAGCGGGAAGAGCUCAAAUUUGAAAUCUUAAAGGGUUUCCCUUUACGAAUUGUAGUUUAAAGAAGUGUUUUCUGUUGAGGUUUUGGUAAAAGUUCUUUGGAAUAGGACAUCAUAGAGGGUGAGAAUCCCGUAUUUGACCUUUACUUUCAACUUUGUGAUACACUUUCAAAGAGUCGGAUUGUUUGGGAAUGCAGUCCAAAAUGGGUGGUAAAUUUCAUCUAAAGCUAAAUAUUGGCGAGAGACCGAUAGCGAACAAGUACCGUGAGGGAAAGAUGAAAAGAACUUUGAAAAGAGAGUUAAACAGUACGUGAAAUUGUCAAAAGGGAAGCGUUUGACACCAGUGUUGUUUUUCUGAAAAUCAAUUAAAGAACUGUUUAUGCUAAGUUGUUUAGACUUUAUCAGCUAACUGUUUAGUUUUGAGCUUUUCUUUAAUGCACUUUUCAGUUAACAAGUCAACAUCAAUUUCUUUUGCUGUAAAAAAGCUUGAGGAAGGUGGCUUGAGAUUCGUCUUAAGUGUUUAUAGCCUCCUGCCUAUGCAGUCGGAGAGAUUGAGGUCUGCAGCGUAGAUCCUUCGGGGCUAAAUGCAUUUGUGCUAAGUUAUAGCAUUUUAUAGACAACUUGUUGACUAUGAUUUGUCUUGUAGCUUACUCGCUUAUGUUAUUUUACCUACGCUUAGGAUGUUGACGAGACUGUCGAUCUCAUCUAUACAUGACUCUGUGCAUAUCAAUAAGCGGAGGAAAAGACUGCGGAACUGAACGACCGCUACCUACGCUUAGGAUGUUGACGAGACUGUCGAUCUCAUCUAUACAUGACUCUGCUGCAUAUCAAUAAGCGGAGGAAAAGAGGGCUAUUACCUACGCUUAGGAUGUUGACGAGACUGUCGAUCUC
rnacentral:rRNA from 1 species